GAAAUUUUCAAUUCAAUCCAAGAAAUUAGUUCAAAAUCGACAUGAAGACCUAUUGUAUUGCCUUGUUCGUAAUGCUCGGCAUUAUAUAUUGGUUCCCAACAGGCGGCUUUUUUACGCCAGAACCCCGAUAUAGCCGUAAUCGUUAGAAAAAAUUGUAUAUAAACUUUUUUAAAAUCAUUAAAAUUGUAAAAAAUCAAGCAAUAAUAAAACUUAUAUUAUUUUUGGCUUAUUA